CGGACGGGUGAGUAAUGUCUGGGAAACUGCCUGAUGGAGGGGGAUAACUACUGGAAACGGUAGCUAAUACCGCAUAACGUCGCAAGACCAAGAGGGGGACCUUAGGGCCUCUUGCCAUCGGAUGUGCCCAGAUGGGAUUAGCUAGUAGGUGGGGUAACGGCUCACCUAGGCGACGAUCCCUAGCUGGUCUGAGAGGAUGACCAGCCACACUGGAACUGAGACACGGUCCAG
rnacentral:rRNA from 1 species